AGAGUUUGAUCCUGGCUCAGGAUGAACGCUAGCGGCAGGCCUAACACAUGCAAGUCGAGGGAGGAGCUUUCGGGCUUCGACCGGCGUACGGGUGCGUAACGCGUAUACAAUCUGCCUUUCACAUAGGGAUAGCCCGAAGAAAUUUGGAUUAAUACCUAAUAGUAUAUAGAUGUGGCAUCACAUUUAUAUUAAAGCUGAGGCGGUGAAAGAUGAGUAUGCGUUCUAUUAGCUAGUUGGAGAGGUAACGGCUCCCCAAGGCUACGAUAGAUAGGGGUUCUGAGAGGGAUAUCCCCCACACUGGUACUGAGAUACGGACCAGACUCCUACGGGAGGCAGCAGUGAGGAAUAUUGGACAAUGGUCGGAAGACUGAUCCAGCCAUGCCGCGUGCAGGAAGACGGCCUUAUGGGUUGUAAACUGCUUUUGCAGGGGAAGAAUAAGGAGUACGUGUACUUUGAUGACGGUACUCUGCGAAUAAGCAUCGGCUAACUCCGUGCCAGCAGCCGCGGUAAUACGGAGGAUGCGAGCGUUAUCCGGAAUCAUUGGGUUUAAAGGGUCCGUAGGCGGGCUAAUAAGUCAGAGGUGAAAGCGCUCAGCUCAACUGAGCAACUGCCUUUGAAACUGUUAGUCUUGAAUGGUUGUGAAGUAGUUGGAAUGUGUAGUGUAGCGGUGAAAUGCUUAGAUAUUACACAGAACACCGAUAGCGAAGGCAUAUUACUAACAAUUAAUUGACGCUGAUGGACGAAAGCGUGGGGAGCGAACAGGAUUAGAUACCCUGGUAGUCCACGCUGUAAACGAUGGAUACUAGCUGUUUGGUUGUUAAGACUGAGUGGCUAAGCGAAAGUGAUAAGUAUCCCACCUGGGGAGUACGCACGCAAGUGUGAAACUCAAAGGAAUUGACGGGGGCCCGCACAAGCGGUGGAGCAUGUGGUUUAA
rnacentral:rRNA from 1 species